UGGGGAAUAUUGGACAAUGGGCGAAAGCCUGAUCCAGCCAUGCCGCGUGUGUGAAGAAGGUCUUCGGAUUGUAAAGCACUUUAAGUUGGGAGGAAGGGCAGUAAGCGAAUACCUUGCUGUUUUGACGUUACCGACAGAAUAAGCACCGGCUAACUCUGUGCCAGCAGCCGCGGUAAUACAGAGGGUGCAAGCGUUAAUCGGAAUUACUGGGCGUAAAGCGCGCGUAGGUGGUUCGUUAAGUUGAAUGUGAAAGCCCCGGGCUCAACCUGGGAACUGGAUCCAAAACUGGCGAGCUAGAGUAGGGCAGAGGGUGGUGGAAUUUCCUGUGUAGCGGUGAAAUGCGUAGAUAUAGGAAGGAACACCAGUGGCGAAGGCGACCACCUGGGCGCAUACUGACACUGAGGUGCGAAAGCGUGGGGAGCAAACAGG
rnacentral:rRNA from 1 species